GAUGAACGCUCGCGGGAGGCCUAACACAUGCAAGCCGAGCGGGAUUUGUUGGUUAGCUUGCUAACUAACAAUGAGAGCGGCGUACGGGUGCGUAGCACGUGUGCAACCUGCCUUUAUCUGGGGGAUAGCCUUUCGAAAGGAAGAUUAAUACCCCAUAACAUAUUGAUUGGCAUCAGUUAAUAUUGAAAGCUCCGGCGGAUAGAGAUGGGCACGCGUAAGAUUAGCUAGUUGGUGAGGUAACGGCUCACCAAGGCUGCGAUCUUUAGGGGGCCUGAGAGGGUGAUCCCCCACACUGGUACUGAGACACGGACCAGACUCCUACGGGAGGCAGCAGUGAGGAAUAUUGGACAAUGGGUGAGAGCCUAAUCCAGCCAUCCCGCGUGAAGGACUAAGGACCUAUGGUUUGUAAACUUCUUUUAUACAGGGAUAAACCUACUCUCGUGAGGGUAGCUGAAGGUACUGUAUGAAUAAGCACCGGCUAACUCCGUG
rnacentral:rRNA from 1 species